AGAAAAGGAAGUGAAACAGGAAGUUCAAUACUGGGAUAUAAUAUGAUGAUAAUAAAGAAUUAAUGAGUUAAAUGAUAUAUUUAUAUGUGAGCAAACUAUUUAUGCUAUGGAUGAAUCUACCUGUUUCAUGGAUAAAUACACUGAAUCGGAAAUUGACAAUGUUGUUUAGGCUUAUGAUAAGUAUUGAGAACAAAAUGGAAAGUAAGUAAAUUGAAAGGUAUAUAAUCAUAUAAAAAGGUUGAUGAUUAUACAGAUUUAUGAACCUUAUGACAUUGGUAUAGGUUUAUGUUUAUUCAAAAAAGUUUAUUAUUGAGAUGGAAUAUUAGGCUUAAAGUUUAUACGAGCUUACUAAGCAUUCAUUGCUUAUGUGGUUAUUUUUUUCUUACUUUAUAGAUUAUUGGAAGCUCGAUCAGGUUGGAAGCUAGUCGGAGAUCCAUCACACUAUCCAUUGAUUUUAUCGGUAGAUUUUGAUGCUUUGGUCAUGGCUAUAAUGGCAUGUAUAAAUGGACUUAUGUCUAAUGUUUAGUUAAUGAUAUCGGCAUGUAAUGUUGCUUUGGAUUUGUGAAACUCAUGAUAUUUGAUGCCUUGAUGGUUGGUGUGCUUUUGGCACUUUGAUGAUUAAAGGUCGAUUUUUUGGCAUGUUGGUACUUAAAGGUUGGAAGUUGGAAUGGUAUAUAAAAUGCAUGCUAAAAAAUGUUGUUUUGAUAUGCUUGAAUGUGAUCAUUGAGGUAUGGAAAUUGAUAGUGAACAUUGAGUUAAUAAAUGGCUAGUUUGGUGUGUUUGGAUGUGUUGACAUAUGGUAAAGUUUGCUAAGGUAGUGAUGAUAGGUGUUGAAUAGUCAAAUUGGUGUUUUUGAGUAUGAUAUUGGUAUGUGAACAUUGUGGUAAAUGUUGGCAUAAAAUUAGUUAUAAAGGUUAGUUGAUUUGCGGUUAAACUUAGCAAUUGUAUAAUCAUGUUUGAUUGUUGUGAUUGAGGUGCCUUUUGCACAUAUUGGUUGAAUGAUUAAAUACUAUGAUGAUCUAGCUUGAAUAUGCAUGUGUUAGGUACAUUUUGAAUGUUUGAAUAUAGGUGCAAAUGACUUAUAAGGGUGUGCUUGAAUUGGGUGAAAGGAAUAGCUUGAAUUUGGCCUAUUUCUUGUCCAUACGGCCUAAGACACGGGUGUGUGUCUCAGCCAUGUGUCACGCGACACAGUUUCAUUUCGAGAGUUACACGACCUGACACAUAGGCGUGUGACUUGGUCGUGUGACCCAAGUCAGAGGGUUAUAUGGGCACGGACACAGACACGGGCUAGGACACGGCUGUGUGUCCCUACUUCGAAUGCCCACACGGCCUAAGACACGGGUGUGUGUCUCAGCCAUGUGACCCUUGUAGUAUGAAUUUUUCCAUCUUUUUCCAUGAAGUUUUAAAUGUUUUUUAUUUAGUUUCGAUCGUUUCUAAAGUGUUUCUAAGACUUCGAGGGCUCGAAAAAGGGACGUUAUGCAUGUGUUUGAAUGGAAUAUAAUCUGUUUUGUAAAUGGUUGUAAUUGAAUGUUUUAAGUUAAAAGUUUUCGGUAAUACUCCGUAACCCUAUUCCGACGAUAGAUACAAGUUAGGGGUGUUACAUUCUUGAAUUCCUGAAUCAGAGUAUGACAUCCAUUCAAACUACAGUACAAAAUUAUAAAUGUUAUUACAUACCUAAUAUUGAAUUUCAAAUCCUUACAUAAUUAUUAUAUAAUUGAAAAUUUUAAAAACUAACCUCGGCUUCAGGCUGUUGAUUUAACAAUAACCAGAUAUCUUCAAGCUCGUUUGGAGUACCCACAUGACUCGUGUCAUUAUUCCACUUGUUCAAAUAAUAUGUUAUUCCAAAAACAUAAUAAUAAUAAUAAUAAUAAUAAUAAUAAUAAAAUACCAUAAAUAUAUUAUUAAAUAAAUCUUACAUUAUUACAAGUGGGAAUUGAUAAGGAAAGUUCACUCAUGGUCAUAAAAAUGGUAAGCGAUACCAUGCCCAUAACUGAAGAAGGAGUACACAACUAUAGACUUUAAUUUUUUGUGCUUUAGUUCUUCAACACAUCUCUAUGUACAAUGUAGCCAAGACAGUUGAUCCCCAACUGAGUUGCCCGACUUCUUUUAAGUCAAUUAGUUGUAGGAGUCACCUUAAAUGUACUAAAUUUCGAGAUUUAUUUGGCAUUAAAAACCCCUGAACAACUUUAGUAUGAAUGCUCAAGCGAAUUGUUGUCUUUCAACUGCACUAGAAGAGUUGUUGAGAUGUGAGAAAUUAUCUUCUAGCAUUUCAUUUCUAUCCGACGUCCACUAAACUUGUCUGGCACCUUGCCUUAUAGUUGGUGCAAAUUGCGCUCAAAUUACCAAUGUGCACUACCCCUGUAACGACUAGCCCAUCAACCGGAAAACUGAAUUGUAAUGCCACUUCCUCGAAUGUAAUUGUACACUCACCCCACAAAAGAUAGAAUGCAUGUGUCUUGGGUCUUCAUCUUUCUGGAAAAGCCCGAUAAGUGCAAGCUCCAAUUUGGUCCUGUUGAGCAUACGAGACACGUGCAAGAAUCCUGCCUCUUCCAAGUGUUGUUCAAUAACACGUGAUGCUCAUGCGCUUAAAUUGUGUAUAUAUGUUUUGAUAAUUCGAUAUUCAUCCUCAUUAUAUAAACAUAAAAAACUAAAAAAUAAUAUAUUAACAACUAAAUAAUCAUAUUAAUUAAAAUAAUAUAUAUAGUAAUAAUUUCUUACCAUUUUUAAUUGGACACCGAAAAUAUAUUUGUGAUCCAAACAAAUUAGAGAUAUUGACAUUUUUAAAAUUUUUAAAAUCAUGAAAAUUAAAUAAAAUCAAAGAAAUUAUAAAAUAGAAAAUUGAGAGAAUUUGAGAAUAAAAAAAAUUGAAAGAGUUGAGAGGAUUAAAUAAUAGGAUUGAAUGAAAAAAAUAAAAAUAAAUAGGGUUAUAUAUAAUAAAAAGAAAAUGAUUGUUGGAGAAAAAAAUGGUCGUUGGUGACCUAGCCGUUUGUCCUAACAGUUCAUAUAAGUUUUUUUAAUUUUAACAUUUGAUUUUGGAACAGAUAGCGUCACGUGACGAAAACGCACUCUAUAGGACACAUUUUUAGUCUCUCCUCUACGUCACCUAAAAGUACGUUUUACAGGACAUGUUUUUGCCCUACCCAAUGCCACAUUACUUGAAAGCGUGUUUUUUUCUUCUCUCUCAAAAAAGGACCUAUUUUCCUAAUUUUCAAAAAAAAUGUACCUAAAUCCCUAAUUUUGUUUUAAAUUUGGCUUAUACGCUUAAUUUUGUCACUAUUAAUUAGUUUCUUUUUCUUUCCUUUUUACCUUAAAAAUAGACAACUCAACCUUUCUUAUGCGCUGCAGUCUGCGCCCCUCAAGUUUCUCUAUUCCGUUGGAUUUUUCUUUCCAUUUUUCCUUUUACAAAAACCAAUUAUUACCGUGAAUUGCCGCCCCCUGAGUCAUCUUCUGCCCGAAACGUCUUUGAUUCCCCGCUACAUACUCUUCUGUUUUCUGGUUUCCUGAUGGUUCCCAAAAUUGAACCAAAACCUUAAAAUCUAGGGAUCAAGUUCAAAACAAAGAUCUUCUCAUCAAGCCAAAGCCAUCAUAUUAUAGUCUCUUUGUGAUCACUCAGUGCUUUCUACUAUUCUGGUUCAUCGGAUGAAGUCUUAAAAGCCUCAAACGACCACUGCAUGUUGAUUUUCUUUUCUCUUUUGAAGUUUUGAUUCUUUUGUCAUCUUUUCCAUAUUUAAAGAAAAAGGUAUAUCUGUAUUUUGGAAAAAGAAAGCUUAUAAAUCUUUUGAUAUACUUUUUCUAUCUAGAUUUUGAACACUAAAUUAGUAUAUUCUGUAAAUUGUGAAAAAAAUUACGAAUUUCGUCUAAACCUUAAUCAACAAAGCGAUUAAAAUUUUGGCUAUGAAAAGUUUUCCAAAAAGUACAUUAAAUAAACAGUGAAAAUCUAUAUCCUGUUGGGUAAAGGAAAGUGUUCGAUUGUAUCGACUGAAAUUCUAGUUGACAAAUUUUAUUUUAUGAUUCUAAUUUUGAUUUAAAUUUUUUUCGAAAUGAGUGGAAUGAAAUAAAAUUCAAUUAGAGUUGAAUCGAGUGAAAUUAUUUGAGUUAAAUUAAAACAUUAAAUAUGUUAAAUUUAAAUUUUGUUACAGCAUAACUAAUUCCAUGUUAAAGUAUUUAAAUUUGAAAUCAUAUAUAUUAAAUAACUUUUUCAAAAUAAAAUAGUUUAAUAAGAUAAUCUUGAAUCACAAAUUAAUUUAUUUUAGUCCUAAAAUUAUUAUUUUAUAAUAUUUUUACAUUUUUAAUUUUUUAUAUAUUUUUUAGAAUUUCUAUAAUUUUUUAGAAAAUAUAAAUUUUGAAAUUUUUAUGAAUAUUUUUAAGUUUAAAAAUUAUUUUGAAUUAUUUUAUAUUUUUUAUUAGGAAAGAAAUCAAUUUGCUCAUUUUUUAAAUUAACAGGGGACCAAAGGGUAGUUACAUCAAUUUGUUAUUUAAAUUAUUCAAAUUAUUCGAAUUGUAAAAUUCAACUCGACUCGAACUCAAAACUCGAAUUACUUAUUCUAGUUGAUUCAAAAAAUCGAAUAAUUUAAAUAAUUUAAAAUUAUAUUUUUUUAUUUUUCGAAUUAAAUUAAAUUUUAUUCUUUUCUAUUGUUGAAUUUUUUAAAAGAAUUUUACUUGUUUGGCAGGACAUACAAGUAUUGUGAAGAGGAAAGUUAUUGAUGACAAAAAAUAAAAGGUAAAUCCGAUAUAUUUAAAUAUUUUAACAUAUUGAAAACAUAAAAAAAAAUAGAAAAUAAGAGAGCGGUAGAGUGGUGUAUUACUACUCCUUUACUAUUCUCUUAUAGCGGGUGUGAUUUGUUUAAUUUGGUAAAAAUGAAUAUAUAAUUAUUUAUAGUUAAAAUGCAAUUGUAUUGUUGGGAAUGGUAAAUAUUAAAUUAGGCUAAAUUAGUUAUAUAUGUCAAAAAAAAGUUUAUUAGUUAAAUAGGUUGAUAUUUUAAAAUUUUAGAGAAAUAAAUCGUUUUUAGAGAGAGUGUUAGAAAAUGCAUCCCUUUUAAGUUGUAUUUUCUGAUUUUUUUAAUAUAAUCAGUUUUUUUUUGUCAGAUUAUUAAAUGUUAAUAGUUUUAUCCUUAAGUCUCAUAUUUGAUUCCUCUCUCACUUAUAUUUAUAUUUUUUAUUUUAUUUUGUCUUAAGUUUUUUUAUAUUUUUAAUUAAUAUUUUUAACAUAUUAACUUAUUUGAUUAAAUUGUUAAAUAAUAAUGGUUUUAUCGUUUAGACCUAGGUUCAAUUUCUCUCUUCUAAAGACAUUUUUUAUUUCAUAUUGUUUCAAGCUUUUUUUAUUUUUAAUUAAUAAAUAUCUUGUUUUCAGUUUUUUUAAUUCAAUCUUUUUAACUAAUAACUCUUUUAUUCAUACAAUCAAAUGAUAAAUAUGUAACUAUAUAAUAAAUAUAUAUUUUACAUAUAUCAUUAUGUUAAAAAUAUUUGAAAUUAUAUAUAAUAUUUAUAUGUCAAAUAUUUAUUUUCUCCACAUAUAUUGUGGGUAUGGUGAUUUCUAAUAUUAUAAAAUGAAAUAAUUAUUUCAAAUAUAAUUAUUAUUUUUAUAUGUAAAAUAUUUCAAAUAUUAUUAUUUUUUCAUCUACAUUGUGGGUAUGAUAUUUCAAAUAUUUUUAUAUGUGAAAUAUUUCAAUUAAUUAUUUCAAAUAUCAUUAUGUUUAUAUGUGAAAUAUUUUAAAUAUAAAUGCUAAAAUAUAUAAUACUAAAAUUUACAACGCCCAUUAUAUGGAUUAAAAAAUAAAUAUUACACAUAUAAAAUUAUAUUUAUUAAAAAUAAUCAUAUUUUUAGUAAUUAUUUGAUUUUAUGAAUAAAAGAUUUAUUAAUUAAAAAGAUGAAUUAAAAAACAAUAUAUUUAUUAAUUAAAAAUAAAAAAAGCUUGAAAUACUAAUUACAAAUGUAUUUAGAAGAAGGAAAUUAAACUUGGGUCUCAAGGAUAGAAUUAUUAUUAUAUAACCAUUCAAUCAAAAGAGUUGAUUUGUUAUAAACAUUAAUUAAAAAUAUAAAAGGCUUAAAACAAAAUGAAAUUAAAAAAUAUAUAUAAAUGUGAGUGGGAGAGGAGUUGAAUCUAAGAGACUUAAAACAAAACUACUAAUAAAAAAAUAAUGCUCUCAACUUUUGCAAAAUUCCGAUAACGGUGGGGAGGGAGUCGCUCACCCCAACGAUUAUCGAAAUACCAAAAAAGUAAGGUUUAAAGUGAACGGUGCUGAGGAAGACACUUCUAUGGCUGUGGAUCAUGAACCACAACCAAGUAUGACAUGGAAAGAAAGAUUGCUGGGGGGCCAUGGUGCUGCUUUCGAAUCUGUUCGUGAUGGGCCUUUUGCAGAUAAUGAGAAUGAAUUCGAACUACUUGAAGGGGACGUCAAUAUGUCAAUCAUUGAUGGGAUUCCUGCUAUUGAUUUUUUGGAUCGUGUAAAGGAAAUCCUCUUCAAAGAAAUGGAGUUGACUAUCAUUGUUAAGCUUCUAGGACAAAAUAUCGGUUACAAUGCACUUCAUAAUCGAAUCCUUUUCCUUAAGUAGAAAGAAUUACAAUCCCCAUCCCGCCUAAAAUCCUAGGAAUUUGUUGAUAGUUAGAAUAGAUUUGUAGACCUGGUCGACUGAUCCGUCGUAAAUUUAAAAUAGUUCUAUCUGGUCCUUUUCUAUUCCGUCUAUGUCGUAGGGUUAAAACCAAAAAAUAUUUGUUGCGUUCCCAAUGUUUCCUUACGUUAUCGAUAAAACCUUCUCGUAAAAGUAUUUUAACAAUGUUUUCAGUGAUGUUAGUAGAUCCUAUUUGAAUCGUUCCUUUUCUAUUCAUAUCAGCAUUUCGUAUAGAGGUUAUUAUGUCAGCAAUAGUGUCCUUACCCAUGGUAAACUAAAAUUUUUGUUGCUCCCGAAUUUUGAUAUAACCAACGUGGUCUUUUUUUUUACUUAGUAAAGGUAUAUACAUGAGACACAAUCUACUAAUUAAUCUAUGCCAUUUAAAUACUCUAAAUACUCUAACUAUACUUGGGUCUCGUCUUAUAAUACCUCGGGAGCUAAUGAAACUAUUUUAGUGAAAUUUAACUGUCUCAAUUCCCGGGCAAUCGCACCAAAAUUCGAGUUCCUUUUGGAUUUCCUUCUUGAUCAAUGACAACGGUAGCAUUGUCAUCAUAUCGUAUUAUCAUCCCGUUGUCGCGUUUGAGUUCUUUACGAGUACGUACAAUUACAGCUCUGAUCACUUCUGAUCUUUCUAGGCUAUAGCAGAGUUUCUGUACAUUCAAUGUACUCUACGGAUAGAGGAAUACAUAGAGUUGAACAUAGUAAAAUAAGAAAUUGAAAGAUUUCGUUGAAAUUGUUCGUUUGGAAAUUUCCUGAAAAGCUAAUCAUAGGUUCUUCUCUUGCCCAUUUAUAUAACGGAUCGUAUGGUAGGACAUAAAUUGGGAGAAUUCGCACCUACUAUAAAUUUUUGCGGACACGCAAAAAAUGAUAAUAAAUCUCGUCGUUAAUAUUAUUAUAAUAAAUUAUAAUAAAAAAUAGAGAUUAAUUAAUGAAUUCAUUAGUGAGAGGUAAACUUUAUGAUAAAGAUAGAACUAAUUAUUUAUAUUUAAUAACUAGAACUAAUUAUUCCAUUCAUUUCUAUUUCGAAUUCGAAGAUAAUUCAAAUUUUUGAGUCUAAAAAGAGUUUCAUUCUAAUUAUCUAGACUUAUAACGUAUCAUUUCAUUUAUAUAAUCAUAAAAUAUAUAAAUGCAUAAAAAGAUUUUGACUCUAAUUAUCUCUAUUUAGAACUCUAAACUAAAUAGAAACCCGUGCUCAAAAAGGUACCUUUGGCAGCUAAUCCUCUUGAUAGUACGGUAGUAGCAUCUAAAUGCGCAAAUGUUGUGGCAGGGUCAGGGUCGGUCAAAUCAUCCGCAGGUACAUAAACUGCUUGAAUAGAAGUUAUGGAUCCCUCCUUGGUAGAAGUAAUUCUUCUUCUGAUGAUCGAUUCAACCUCUGAUCAAAAAGAUAUACCUUGGUUAUAUUUCAUCUCUUCAACAAGUUUAGUAAUGAGCAUAACGGCCCUAUUGUUCCGAUGGAGAGAAGAACCUAUGAUUAGCUUUUCAGGAAAUUUCCAAACGAACAAUUUCAAUGAAAUCUUUCAAUUUCUUAUUUUACUAUGUUCAACUCUAUGUAUUCCUCUAUCCGUAGAGUACAUUAAAUGUACAGAAAUGGCUAUAGAGAGUUUCUGUUAUUCGUAUUAACAGCUACUCUAGGAGGAAUGUUUUUAUGCGGUGCUAACGAUUUAAUAACUAUCUUUGUAGCUCCAGAAUGUCUCCUUGCAUAAUAUGGAUUCCAAACAUUCAUGAUCUGGAUGUGAAUGAGGCGAAUUACUUAUCCCUCGGUCUAUUAGUGAACUAUCUCUCCAAGGAUUGUGAAAGAUGUUCCACUAGAAAUAUUCUUGUUAUUGCUUCAACUCAUAUUCCCCCAAAAGUGCAUCCCACUCUAAUAGCCCCGAAUAAAUUAAAUACAUGUAUUAAGAUACGAAGGCUUCUUAUUCCACAACAACGAAAGCACUUUUUCACUCUUUCAUAUACUAGGGGAUUUCACUUGGAAAAGAAAAUGUUCCAUACUAAUGGAUUCGGGUCCAUAACCGUGGGUUCCAAUGCACGAGAUCUUGUAGCACUUACCAAUGAGGCCCUAUCGAUUAGUAUUACAUAGAAGAAAUCAAUUAUAGACACUAAUACAAUUAGAUCUGCUCUUCAUAGACAAACUUGGGAUUUGCGAUCCCAGGUAAGAUCGGUUCAGGAUCAUGGGAUCCUCUUAUAUCAGAUAGGAAGGGCUGUUGUACAAAAUGUACUUCUAAGUAAUUGCCCCUUAGAUCCUAUAUCUAUCUAUAUGAAGAAGAAAUCAUGUAAUGAAGGGGAUUCUUAUUUGUACAAAUGGUACUUCGAGCUUGGAACGAGCAUGAAGAAAUUAACGAUACUUCUUUAUCUUUUGAGUUGUUCUGCCGGAUCGGUCGCUCAAGACCUUUGGUCUCUACCCAGACCCGAUGAAAAAAAUGGGAUCACUUCUUAUGGGUUCGUUGAGAAUGAUUCUGAUCUAGUUCAUGGCCUAUUAGAUGUAGAAGGCGCUCUGGUGGGAUCCUCACAGACAGAAAAAGAUUGCGGUCAGUUUGAUAAUGAUCGAGUGACAUUGCUUCUUCGGUCCGGGCCGGUGAACCCCUUAUAUAUGAUGCAAAAUGGAUCUUAUAAGUCUGCACAUAAGAUAUCCAGCAUCUGAUGUUCGUACGGCGGUAUCUACAACCCCUUUUCGGGCUCCGUAGUAAGAAAUGAUAUAUUCUGUUAAAGACAGUCCUUCGCGUAAAUUGCUUUGAAUGGGUAAAUCAAUCAUUUGUCCUUGGGGAUCCCGAUCUCGCAAAUAUUUCGAUUCCAGAAAAUGAUGACGCUAUAGCUUUAAUUCGAUUAAUUCUUAACAAAUUAGUAGUCGUAAUUUGUGAGGGUCGUUCUAGCUAUAUACGAAAUCCUUGAUUAAUAAUAAGAUAAAUAAAUUCUUUUUUGGAACUACAUAGAUCUAUGGAACUUUUUUGGAACUACAUAGAUCUAUGGAAUCGGUUAAUAUAUCCUGAAUCGCACAAAAGAGAUAAAAAAACUGUGAAUAUUGUGUGAUUAGUUUCGUCGGUGUCAAAAAUAUAGAAUUUGAGUAGGCAAGAGAAGAUUGAAUCAAAAUAAUUCCUUUUUUUUGAAGUAAAGUUCUAUUUCUGUCAGAGGGCAAUAUGAAUGGUAUAUCAAAUGCACUAAACGGGUUAUACGAUAUCUCUCAUGUGGAAGCAGGCCAACAUUUCUAUUGGCAAAUAGCAGGUUUCCAAGUCCGUGCCCAAGUACUUAUUACCUCUUGGGUUGUAAUUGCUAUCUUAUUAGGUUCCGCCGUUAUCGCUGUUCGGAAUCCACAAACAAUUCCAACCGCCGGUCAAAAUUUCUUCAAAUAUGUUCUUGAAUUCAUUCGAGACGUAAGCAAAACUCAGAUUGGAGAAG
rnacentral:lncRNA from 1 species